GUGCCAGCAGCCGCGGUAAUACGUAGGGUGCAGGCGUUAAUCGGAAUUACUGGGCGUAAAGCGUGCGCAGGCGGUUUCUUAAGUCAGAUGUGAAAUCCCCGGGCUUAACCUGGGAACUGCGUUUGAAACUGGGAGACUCGAGUAUGUCAGAGGGGGGUGGAAUUCCACGUGUAGCAGUGAAAUGCGUAGAGAUGUGGAGGAACACCGAUGGCGAAGGCAGCCCCCUGGGAUAAUACUGACGCUCAUGCACGAAAGCGUGGGGAGCAAACAGGAUUAGAAACCCCAGUAGUCC
rnacentral:rRNA from 1 species